GCGGGCGCGCCGACGCUGGAGAGUCGGGCCCGGCUGUAAACCGGGUGCUUCGCUGAGCAGGUUCGAAUCCUGCCGCCCGCAC
rnacentral:tRNA from 3 species